rnacentral:rRNA from 1 species
CCUUUGACGUUAGCGGCGGACGGGUGAGUAACACGUGGGUAACCUACCUAUAAGACUGGGAUAACUUCGGGAAACCGGAGCUAAUACCGGAUAAUAUUUCGAACCGCAUGGUUCGAUAGUGAAAGGUGGUUUUGCUAUCACUUAUAGAUGGACCCGCGCCGUAUUAGCUAGUUGGUAAGGUAACGGCUUACCAAGGCGACGAUACGUAGCCGACCUGAGAGGGUGAUCGGCCACACUGGAACUGUAGACACGGUCCAGACUCCUACGGGAGGCAGCAGCC